AUUUACAUCAAUCUGCCAUCUUUUAAAAGUAAAUACAAAUCACUGUAGAAAGAAGAGAUAUAAAAAUAAAGUAUAUACACAGUAGCCAUGCAUUAAAAUAUUUUGUGUUUGUCAACCCACUCGUUAAUUGGCUAGUGGGUUAAGCUAUAUUAAAAUAAGGUGGUAAUAUAAAUUGUAUGAAAAGCCUGGAGACAAAAUCACUUGUAAGGCAGAGAUAUCCAAUAGCGGACUCUGAAUUCUACCGCAUAAGUAGAAUAUAAUUUACAAUUCCGCAAUUCUAUUUUAAAGACGCUAUUUUACUGCUAAAGAGGUUUUACAGAUUCCAGAUUAGGUCAAUUGGGGGUCAAGAGAUACAACUGUAUAAAACAAAUAUAAGACAAUCUAAUACUAUACACCGCUUUAAAGGCUCGUGGCUAAUGGAUAAUAGCCAGAAAUGAACCCAAUAUUCCACCUAUCAUUUAAAAAACCCAAAAUAUAUAAAGUAUAAAAACUCCCCGUACAUCUACACAUUUGGGUCAAUCAGUAUUUGAUCACAUUUUUUGUUCUUUUGCCGUGAACAGGAUCUGUUGUGGGUUUUGCCGAUUACAGCUAUGCACCAAAACUAUAAGGAAUAUUAAAUUAUUAAAUAUAGUUCGAUUUGGAGAUGAAAUAGGUAUGUGUUUUGCUUCUUUGGGAAGAAAUACCACAACAACAACGGUGCACACAUGGUAUGGCUUUUAAAGGGGGCAGUGUUCAGCAUGUGCGUUCUGAUCAGCAAGCAUCAAACAGCUGGCCACAAGAACAAGAUUAGAACAGUUUCUUUGAAAUGAGCACUUGGGAAGUUUGUGAAACCGUAAGGACACAAAAAAAAAAAUGAUUUUUUUUUAGCCAGUAGGAAGAUCAACAAGGUCAAUUUCAAAGUGGUUCUUAAAAUUGGCAAAUAAGUGUGUGAAAUCUGUGCUUCUAGAAGCAAAGUCAAAAGGCAGUGCACAUUUUUUUUUUUAUAUAAGUUAUCGUAUUUAAUACAAUUAUUGUAAUCAUUUAAGUGCUAGCGGGUUAGAGAGCACGUUCUUGCUCAUUUGGUGCUUAAAGGAUUAAGUUGAUGAUUUUGUAUAAAAAGGAGACGAAUUCCAAUGCGAAAAUAGGGUGGAAUUUUGAAGCUCAGACUAAC